CCUACGGGAGGCAGCAGUGGGGAAUAUUGGACAAUGGGCGCAAGCCUGAUCCAGCAAUGCCGCGUGAGUGAUGAAGGCCUUAGGGUCGUAAAGCUCUUUUACCAGGGAUGAUAAUGACAGUACCUGGAGAAUAAGCUCCGGCUAACUCCGUGCCAGCAGCCGCGGUAAUACGGAGGGAGCUAGCGUUGUUCGGAAUUACUGGGCGUAAAGCGUACGUAGGCGGUUAUUCAAGUCAGAGGUGAAAGCCCGGGGCUCAACCCCGGAACGGCCUUUGAAACUAGGUAGCUAGAAUCUUGGAGAGGUCAGUGGAAUUCCGAGUGUAGAGGUGAAAUUCGUAGAUAUUCGGAAGAACACCAGUGGCGAAGGCGACUGACUGGACAAGUAUUGACGCUGAGGUACGAAAGCGUGGGGAGCAAACAGGAUUAGAUACCCUGGUAGUCCACGCCGUAAACGAUGAUAACCUAGNUGUCGGCGACUGUGCGUGGUGGCGCGNGCUAUCGCAUUAAGUUAUCCGUCCGUCGGGUAGGUACGGUCGCGAGAAGUUAAAACGUUAAAAGGUAAAGUUAGUACGGUAACGUGUAGUUAGUUGUCGAACGGACGACGACGAGGGAGGAGG
rnacentral:rRNA from 1 species